UGUGCUAUACUUUAUAAUAUACGCAAUUUAAAUUUCAGUCUUCUAUUUCAGUCAUAAUUGUUCAUGCCAGGAAGUACCCCAAUUUCCAUGUAGACCAUUUAAUAACGAUUGCUGCCUUUGAAUGGGGCAUGAUGACUGCUUAUCGGCAGUCGUCAAUUUUAUAGAAUAGAUGUUCUGUAGCGCACUCGAGUUAAGUCGCCUCGAGUGGCUGCACUUUGAACGCAUCAGCGAUAAGCUAAAGAUUCUGAUCCCCUCUUGAAAUCGGGCCCCCGUAAAUAUGCAAGUCAAAUUGGCUAGAGCUCGGGUUUUUGCUAAAAAGAAAAAAAUAUAGAAGAGAGGCAGUAGCAUGAUGGAGAGGAAAAAAACCUGCAUGCAAAUUAAAGCAGGCACCAGGCUAACAGCAAUGCAAGGCAGGCAGCCAGCUGGUGGAUGUGGCUGAGAACAAGAAACCUGGCCAAGUGCAGAAAUCGGAAAAGAAGUUGGCCCAGGUAGCCGCGAAAGCCGAGAACGCGGCCCCGAUUGCGCACGCAUCUCCAAUCGCAUCUCCAAGUUCCAGCGUUUUUACCACCUGCCGCACUUGUUUAUGGCCGCGACUUGUUGGCGACCAACUUUGGCUUUGGCCGCUGCUUCUCUUUUUUUCCAGCCAAAGCGGAAACAUGCGCAUCAAAGCAGCAUCAGCAGUCACACAGAGAGAAAAAAGAUACGAAAACUACCAAAAAUAUGAAUGGCGAAUCGAACCAAGCUAUAUUACCGGAGGGUCAUUUUUUUACAUCAUACUUUUAGACACCUUUUAAAGCGAGUACCAAAUAUAAUUGCCAGAAACGACCAUCGAACCAAGGUAUAGUUAUAUAUAUCUAAUCAUAGGACCUUGUUCUUUUUCGCACAGCAUAUUUUUG